CCUGAGCCUUCAAACAAGAGUUGGGGUUUCCAGUUGUCUGGACCCCUGUGCUAGUAACUCUUGAGUGAUCUAUCCAGACUGCAUUGCACAUAACUGAGUGCAGUAUUCCUGCUAUCCGUGUUUGAGAGAUGUGAUUCGGCACACCUAGAUGGCAGGAGAGAGACUGGUCCUUCCAACACCUCCUAUUGUGACAAUGAUUGCUGGCAUCACAAGAGUAAGGUUAAGAUUAUGUGAUGAACUGAACUGUUCUGAAGGAUCUGUGAAGUGCUCUCAAUCAUCUCCAUUUCCUAACUUGCACAAGUGAGUGUUUUUUCCCUCUUUGUCUGCAACCAGAUAGUAAUGAGAUUUCCAUUAUGGCCAGAAAUCAAUCUGUGCCUUUGAUUUUCUUCCAACCUACUUCUCCCCCAAAUAAACAAGGAUUUGAUUUGCUGUUUCUGAAAUGGGCAGAAAG